AUUGAACGCUGGCGGCAGGCUUAACACAUGCAAGUCGAACGAUGACUCUCUAGCUUGCUAGAGAAGAUUAGUGGCGGACGGGUGAGUAACAUUUAGGAAUCUGCCUAGUAGUGGGGGAUAGCUCGGGGAAACUCGAAUUAAUACCGCAUACGACCUACGGGUGAAAGGGGGCGCAAGCUCUUGCUAUUAGAUGAGCCUAAAUCAGAUUAGCUAGUUGGUGGGGUAAAGGCCCACCAAGGCGACGAUCUGUAACUGGUCUGAGAGGAUGAUCAGUCACACCGGAACUGAGACACGGUCCGGACUCCUACGGGAGGCAGCAGUGGGGAAUAUUGGACAAUGGGGCAACCCUGAUCCAGCCAUGCCGCGUGUGUGAAGAAGGCCUUUUGGUUGUAAAGCACUUUAAGCAGGGAGGAGAGACUAAUGGUUAAUACCCAUUAGAUUAGACGUUACCUGCAGAAUAAGCACCGGCUAACUCUGUGCCAGCAGCCGCGGUAAUACAGAGGGUGCGAGCGUUAAUCGGAAUUACUGGGCGUAAAGCGAGUGUAGGUGGCUCAUUAAGUCACAUGUGAAAUCCCCGGGCUUAACCUGGGAACUGCAUGUGAUACUGGUGGUGCUAGAAUAUGUGAGAGGGAAGUAGAAUUCCAGGUGUAGCGGUGAAAUGCGUAGAGAUCUGGAGGAAUACCGAUGGCGAAGGCAGCUUCCUGGCAUAAUAUUGACACUGAGAUUCGAAAGCGUGGGUAGCAAACAGGAUUAGAUACCCUGGUAGUCCACGCCGUAAACGAUGUCUACUAGCCGUUGGGGUCCUUGAGACUUUAGUGGCGCAGUUAACGCGAUAAGUAGACCGCCUGGGGAGUACGGCCGCAAGGUUAAAACUCAAAUGAAUUGACGGGGGCCCGCACAAGCGGUGGAGCAUGUGGUUUAAUUCGAUGCAGCGCGAAGAACCUUACCUGGUCUUGACAUAGUGAGAAUCCUGUAGAGAUGCGGGAGUGCCUUCGGGAAUUCACAUACAGGUGCUGCAUGGCUGUCGUCAGCUCGUGUCGUGAGAUGUUGGGUUAAGUCCCGCAACGAGCGCAACCCUUUUCCUUAUUUGCCAGCGGGUUAAGCCGGGAACUUUAAGGAUACUGCCAGUGACAAACUGGAGGAAGGCGGGGACGACGUCAAGUCAUCAUGGCCCUUACGACCAGGGCUACACACGUGCUACAAUGGUAGGUACAGAGGGUUGCUACACAGCGAUGUGAUGCUAAUCUCAAAAAGCCUAUCGUAGUCCGGAUUGGAGUCUGCAACUCGACUCCAUGAAGUCGGAAUCGCUAGUAAUCGCAGAUCAGAAUGCUGCGGUGAAUACGUUCCCGGGCCU
rnacentral:rRNA from 1 species